rnacentral:tRNA from 1 species
AGUAAAAUUUUAAUUGAUUGAUAAAAUUUUAAUUGAUUGGUAAAAUUUUAAUUGGGUAGUAAAAU